ACUUUUUAGAGGCUUAGGUGACUUCGUUAAAGUCUCCACUAAGCUAAGGCUCAUUCCUAUUAUGUUGAGAGACCAAUCCUAAGUUCUCCCAAAGUAUUUCUCUAUUAUUAAAUAUAGUACUGGCAUAAACUAGAGAUAGCCUCCAAUAUUGUUUCGAGGAAUUUACCAGAACAUUAACAUGUAUCUCUUGGUCUGUAAUGGAAUUGGGAUCCACUAUCAGUUCCUCACCUUUCCACAUUAGAGCUAUGCCUCCAAAGUGUCCCUUACCACUAAUCUCAAACAUAUCUGUAAAUUUGAUAAAAUCUUGAAGUGUAGAGUGGUAUGUCAUCCUUGUCUCAGUGAGACAGAUAAUUGUGGGAUUAUUCCACUCAACCAGAGCUUUGAAGUUCCUCCUGAGGUCUGGUUUGUUACCGCCUCUACAAUUCCAUGGCAAAAUCUUCAUUUGGGGUUUGUCAUCAGUUAGUGUACUUCCUCAUGCUUCAAUGACAUCUCGGGAUGUGAAAGUAGUGGAUGUGAUGGUCCAUUCUUCAUGGAGAUGUUCCGAGAUGUCUGGAUGACUGUUUGUGACUUUGUGGGAUGUUUAGUUCGGUUUCCAAUGCACUUGGGAGCAUUUUGGGAUUUGGAUUGGAAACUUGACUUUAGGCCAUUGGGGGUUUACUUGGUAAAAUAGACCUCCGUUUAAAAUUUUGAGGCCGCGGAUAAUGAAUUCGUAGCACGUUUUUAUGGGUGUAUGCAUUUUUGUUUUGUAUCUAUGGGGCCUCGGGUGAUAGUUGGGUUUCGGGUUGAGAAUUGUGAAAAUCCAAAAAAAUCUGGUGUCUGGUGUUUGGUGUCCGCUGCAGCUGCACCAGACUCGUCGCAGCAGUCUCGCUGUACCGGGGGAGAGACUGUUGUAGCGGGCAAGGAGAUUUCGUGGUGAGAAGCCCCAGCGGACUGGUAUCUGCUGAGGCGGACUGACUGUAGCGAGAAUGUUACCGCUAUAGCGGCAAGGUUAGAUUGGCAUGAGGCACCACCAUGAGCCCCUGGCCGCCGUGGCGAGGUCGCUGCAGCGGGUAACCUUACCGCUGUAGGGAGUAACAGGCAGUUUUUCUAUUUUUUCUUAAGUUAAAACCCUUGAACCCUAUCAUUUCCCUUUAUCACUUUCUAAGCACAUUUUGGGAGAAUUGAAUAGCUUUUGGACUGAAUCUUCUUGGAGGGCGAACCCCAAGUAAACGAGAGGGUCUGGAGUGUCUGCAGUUUUCUUCUCGUAUGCUAUUGCCCAUGUAGCCCACUGGUGUUCACAGGAUGUGAUGACACUGAAGGAAUUGUAAAACUCCAACACAUCUCCUUCAAUCACUUUCCAAGUGAUUGAUUUCUUUUGAUGAUCGAUGGCUUCAAUCACCUCCGUAACAAUCUUCUCUUUUCCGUCUAUAAUUAAAAUCGGAGAAUAAAAGAGAUGUUACUCCUAGUUCACAUGUCCAAUUCCUCAUAAAAAGGUUAAACAUUCACAAAAUAAUACCUUCAUCUUAUUUAUUUUAUUUUUCCUCAUUUUCUCAAAAAAUUAUCUGAUGCUCAUGAAUUUUAGACUGUCUACUUCUCUCUUGAAUGGAAUUGUCUUGACGAAUCUAAAAGAACGUUUGACGUUGCAAAAAGUAUGGAAAUUAGAAGGGAAACUUAUAAAAUGAUUCUGAUGUGUUUGGUAUCACUAAAGUAAUUUCCCAUGAAAAAGUUUUUCAGAAAAUAUUUCUUGGUAUUUGGUUUGUUAGUGAAAGAUCGAGCAUACAAUAAAGGCCAAUAAGAAUAUUAUCGAAUUAGAGUGCUUUGCUUAAAUUUUUGCGUACCACAUGAAUAAUAGUGUCUAAAUGUUAGUUGGACAAGUAAUAUAUAGUUAGAAGUUAAAGUUGUUAUGAC